ensembl:antisense Gm15893 predicted gene 15893
AAGGCCAUCUCCUCCUCUAGGAGGUGGGAGCACCUCUUGGUGGUUUCAAUAUCCUCUUAGCUAUUUGAACCUUGAAGGUCAAGACCUAAGGGAUGGAGGUCAUGAACUCGACGAGACCCCUAGCCUGUCAUGGUGAAGACCCCUAGCCUGUCAUGGAAACUUCCAGCAGAUGUAUAUUUUGAGACGUUCCGGUCACUAGGUGUGGCUGUCUUUCUACUAGUCCGAGCCAGACAAGGGCAAUGAGAGAUGGACCAGCAGAAAGGACGAGGGCAGAGGCUGCCGUGAGGGCAACGGAGUGAGAACUGACAUCCUGAGGGUGGGAGUGGAUGAUAACUUAUCACUGAAGGGACCUGUGUCUCUGCAGGGCUCAAGGAGAAGCUGGGCUCAGAGGAGCCUGGCUGAUGGCCUUCAAAACAAGAAAAGAUCUGUUGCUUUGGUCAAGAACAGUGUGGGGAAGAGAAGAACUCGGAAGAACAGGGUGGUUCCUUCCAACUCUGGCUCCCCUUGCUUUCACUAUGGUGAACACGGAUCUCAUUGGGCAGGCUAGAGCUGAGGGUGGUGACCCAGUGGAGAGCGUGAGGAGAGGUGGUGGUGGCUGAUGGCGAGAACAUGGAUCCAAGCCCUUGGCGACAUUGAAAACAUGGAACCCCCCCUCUCUUCCUGGUCCCCGUACUCCCCUUCGGACAGCGGUGUUGGGCCGCGCCUUCGGAGGCCCUGUAAUAUCAACUCAACAAUGCAUGUUCUACAACUACAGCUACAGCUACCAGGACAUCUACUACAAUGCAUGCAUUUAGUUCAGUCCCACAGAUACAUACAAUCUAAGAACAGGCAAGGGAGGUGUGAAAUGUUUUACUAGACAACAGGUGUUUUGGAGUUGUAACUGAUAAAAAAAAAGAGAGAGAGAGAAACGUAAAGUGUACAAAAAAAAGAGAGAGAGAGAGACAUUUCUCGAGAGUUGGAUAUGAGUUUGUUUCUUGAACUGUUUCAUCUGAACAAGCAAAACAUGCAAACCAGCUGAUACUAACAGGAAGCUGGACACUGAGAGAGGUUAACAGGUGUGGACAAACCUUCCUGCUGAGCGUGCUCAGAAGAGUGUCUGAGAGGACGUGUGCAGGUCCUAGUGUAAGAGAGGCGGGAAAGUUUGCCUCAGACACUCUCUCUCACCGCAGCCCCAACCAAGCAAGAGAAAAGACAACAGAAACAUGACUGCUCACACUCACCACCACCGUCAGGAGCUUAUGUCACUAGACUGGAAUAAAGCCGGCAAGUAUAAAGUACAGUACGGGGUCCUGGCUGGGGCCGGGGCAGGGGCCGGGGGAGGGAGUGGACACCGGGGGAGGGGUGCUCUGCAAGCUCGAAGAGUAAUACACGGACCCACCAAUGAGGUCACCCCCAAAUAAAAUUGGCACCAUUUUUUUUUCCUCGGGUUGGGGGUCGGGGUGGGGUGGGGAGAGGAGUUGUCAGCAGUCCAACCGGAUUUAUGUUUGGAUGGGACGUGAUGGGGGCGGAGCCGCUGGAACUGGAUGGACACAAUCAAAAUAAACAAACUCUCGACUGAG